rnacentral:lncRNA from 1 species
ACAGCUCUGACUCCCGGCUUGUUGUGGAUACCAGGCACAGGAUAUCUGCCCAGCUCUCCACCUCCUUCCCUGAUAACUGCUUCUGGGGGCGCUGACUCACCCUCGCCGCUUCCCUGAGGCAGAGGACGGCGAGGCAGACAUUGGAUUUCCCGAGGGAGGAAGCCCUCAGCUUGGAUACCCAACCUCCAGGAAGGAUGUGGGGUCAGAGCUUACUUUCCCUCUCCCUUGCAAACCUGCACCAAAUCUGAAGGGUUCCCAUCUCCCUCAGGUAAUUUCCAUCAGCAUGAAGUACUGCCUGCUACGCAUCUUCCAGUAAAUUACCUCGAGAAGAGGGCUCGAUGCUAAAAGCAACUACUCCAGCUAAUGCCACUACACAGAUGGCAGAUAGGGUGUUCCCUCCUGCGAAGACUAACAUUCCAUAGUCCUAGAGAAGAGGAUGGUACGUAUCAAACUAGCUCCCCUACACUUCUCAACCCCAAGCUUCUAAGCCACUAUCUUCUCCCCCACUCCCCUGAGUUAAGUCCCAGGUCCACUGGGAACACACUGGACAAAAGCCAAUCUGUCCUCCUUGCCUUCUGACCUGGCCAGUCCUGAGGUGUCCAAGCCGCAGGCCCUGCAAGAGGGAUGUAAGCUGGUGGAGGGCUACUCCAUUUGGGGCCUCCCGUUGUCUCCAUGUCCUUUUCAUCCUUCUUGGGGCCCAGAGGUUCCGACUGCUGGGCAAAGGAAAGGUUAAACUGGUUGGGCAGCACUCCCCCCCUCCCAACCCCCCAACAGAAUCUAAGCUGGGAAACUUGGUGGCAGGAACAAAGCGG